AGCUAUAUAAAAACUCUGGCUCAUUCAAGCAGGAAGGGGAAGAAUUCAAAGCCUUUGAAUUGCUUACAGGCUCUGGGAGGUCCAUAGAGACCGAUGUUGGUGGCCCCAGAGGAAGGAGCAAAAUAAAGUAUCUCUGCAGAGAACCAAUUCUGCCACUGCUGCUGGGUGCAGACUCUGCCAGCUGCACUACCCACACUCCAAGCCUGAUGCUAGACUCGGCUGCUCCCUCCGGAAACUGAUGUGGCUCCCAGUGCCACUGCUGUCCAAGCCAAGAUAGAUUCUCUGCAGUCCCUGCUUGCCCCAUGUCAUGCUAAGAGUCAAACACCUUCUGAUUGGUUGAGCCUGGAUCACAUGCCUGAGCAAUAGCUGCAAGGAGGCUGGGAAGGCCUGAAGAGGCAAGGAGAUGGAGCAGUUACCAUACCGGGACGAAAGGACAGGACUGAGUGCAUGCAGAGGGCCCUGACAGGAGCUGAGACCAUGUUGAAGAGACACAGCCAGCCCUGGGCAACCCCUCAGAGAGAGAACAAGAGGAGUAAAUGCCCCCUUUUCAUCCUUUCCCAUGAUACUCUGCUGAGGCUCCCCAGGGCCCCAACUGGAAGGCAGACUGCUGGGGAGCCCAUGCAGGCUGCUCGUACUUGUCAAGACCACAGCACAGAGCGGGUUGAAGAAGGGAGGAGAGUGAAUCUGGAGGAACAGAUAGAAGAUGUGCUGCUCAUGAGGCUUCAUCAAUAUGUCACCAACAUUUUUUUUUCUGUUGUAUUCAAUAUCUCCUUUGGGGAUGUCACUUUAUAUUUUCGGUAACCCAGCCCACAAGAUCAAUGAUCUUAAA